rnacentral:rRNA from 1 species
UACGGGAGUGGCAAGCGUUAUCCGGAAUUAUUGGGCGUAAAGCGUCCGCAGGCGGUCUUGUAAGUCCGUUGUUAAAGCGUGGAGCUUAACUCCAUUUCAGCAAUGGAAACUGCAAGACUAGAGUGUGGUAGGGGCAGAGGGAAUUCCCGGUGUAGCGGUGAAAUGCGUAGAUAUCGGGAAGAACACCAGUGGCGAAGGCGCUCUGCUGGGCCAUAACUGACGCUCAUGGACGAAAGCCAGGGGAGCGAAAGGGAUUAGAUACCCCUGUAGUCCUGGCCGUAAACGAUGGACACUAGGUGUCGGGGGAAUCGACCCCCUCGGUGUCGUAGCCAACGCGUUAAGUGUUCCGCCUGGGGAGUACGCACGCAAGUGUGAAACUCAAAGGAAUUGACGGGGGCCCGCACAAGCGGUGGAGUAUGUGGUUUAAUUCGAUGCAACGCGAAGAACCUUACCAGGGUUUGACAUCCUGCGAAUCUUUUGGAAACGAGAGAGUGCCUUCGGGAACGCAGUGACAGGUGGUGCAUGGCUGUCGUCAGCUCGUGUCGUGAGAUGUUGGGUUAAGUCCCGCAACGAGCGCAACCCACGUCGUUAGUUGCCAGCAUUUAGUUGGGCACUCUAGCGAGACCGCCGGUGAUAAACCGGAGGAAGGUGUGGAUGACGUCAAGUCAUCAUGCCCCUUACAUCCUGGGCUACACACGUACUACAAUGCUACGGACAAAGGGCAGCAAACUCGCGAGAGCUAGCAAAUCCCAUAAACCGUGGCUCAGUUCAGAUCGUAGGCUGCAACUCGCCUACGUGAAGGAGGAAUCGCUAGUAAUCGCAGGUCAGCAUACUGCGGUGAAUACGUUCCCGGGCCU